AGACAGAGGGUGCAAACGUUGUUCGGAAUUACUGGGCGUAAAGCGCGUGUAGGCGGCUCGGAAAGUCGGAUGUGAAAGCCCCUGGGCUACAACCCAGGAAGUGCACCCGAAACUUUCGAGCUGGAGUCCUGGAGAGGAAGGCGGAAUUCUCGGUGUAGAGGUGAAAUUCGUAGAUAUCGAGAGGAACACCGGUGGCGAAGGCGGCCUUCUGGACAGUGACUGACGCUGAGACGCGAAAGCGUGGGGAGC
rnacentral:rRNA from 1 species